rnacentral:rRNA from 1 species
GGUUUGAUCCGGCUCAGAUUGAACGCUGGCGGGAUGCUUUACACAUGCAAGUCGAAUGGCAGCAGCACUGUGACUUCGCCGCCGGUUCAGGCGAGUGGCGAACGGGUGAGUAAUGUGGUUCGGAACGUGCCUAGUAGCGGGGGAUAACGAUACGAAAGCGUAGCUAAUACCGCAUACGCCCUUCGGGGAAAGCGGGGGGAUCUCUGGCCUCGCACUUAGCGAGCGGCCGAUAUCGGAUUAGCUAGUUGGUGGGCACGGUUCACCAAGGCGACGAUCCGUAGCUGGUUUGAGAGGACGACCAGCCACACUGGGACUGAGACACGGCCCAGACUCCUGGGCUUUUGAGGCAGUGGGGGAAUUUUGACAAUGGGGAAACUCAUCCAGCCAUCCGCGGGUGCGGAUGAAGGCCUCGGGUUGUAAAGCACUUUUGGCAGUGAGAAAGAAACGGCACGGGAUAAUGCCCUGCAACUGACGGUACCCGCAGAAUAAGCACCGGCUAAUCCAUGCCAGCAGCCGCGGUAAUAUGUGGCAAGCGUUAAUCGGAAUUACUGGGCGUAAGUGCCGUGCAGGCGGUUCGAAAGAAAGAUGAAAUCCCAGAGCUUAACUUUGAACUGCAUUUUUAAAUUUACCGUGAGCUGAGUGUCGAGGGAGGUGGAAUUCGGCGUAGCAGUGAAAUGCGUAGAUAUGCGGAGGAAUGUCUGACGGCGAAGGCAGCCUCCCGGGAGGAGCCACUGACGUCUGUUCGAAAGCGUGGGGAGCAAACAGGAUUAGAUACACCCUGCGUAGUCCACGCCUCUAAACGAUGUCAACUAGCUGGUUGGGGCCUUCGGGCUCCUCGGUAGCGCAGCUAAUGCGGAAGUUGACCGCCUGGGGAGUACGGUCGCAAGAUUGGAACCUGUGCGCCGAACGAUGGGACCGCACAAGCGGUGGAUGAUGUGGAUUAAUUCGAUGCAACGCGAAAAACCUUACCUACCCUUGACAUGUCUGGAAUCCCGAAGAGAUUUGGGAGUGUUUUCUGCAGAGGAACCGGAACACAGGUGCUGCAUGGCUGUCGUCAGCUCGUGUCGUGAGAUGUUGGGUUAAGUCCCGCAACGAGCGCAACCCUUUGUCAUUAGUUGCUACGAAAGGGCACUCUAAUGAGACUGCCGGUGACAAACUGGAGAGCGUGGGAUGACGUCAAGUCCUCAUGGCCCUUAUGGGUAGGGUCGGCACGUCAGUGCAAUGGUCGGGACAGAGGGUCGCCAACCCGCGAGGGGAGCCAACCAGAAACCCGAUCAGUCCGGAUCGCGGAACUGCAACUCGACUGCGCAGAAGUCGGAAUCUGCUAGUAAUCGCGGAUCAGCAUGUCGCGGGUGGAAUACGUCUCGGUCUGUACACACCGCCGGGUCACACCUCAUGGUGGGAGUGGGUUUUACCAGAAGUAGUUAGCCUAACCGUGCGAGGCGACUACCACGGUAGGAUUCACGACUAGGUAGUCGUAACAAGGUAA